rnacentral:rRNA from 1 species
AGCGAACGCUGGCGGCAUGCCUAACACAUGCAAGUCUGACGGGCCUGGGGCUUGCUCCGGGUCAGUGGCGGACGGGUGAGGAACGCGUAGGAACGUAUCCAAGGGUGGGGAUAACCGCGGGAACUGCGGCUAAUACCGCAUGGGGCCGUCAAGGGAGACCUGGGGGCCGAAAGGCUGAGGGAAACCUUGGUCGCCGAUGGAGCGGCCUGCGUCCGAUUAGCUAGUUGGUGGGGUGACGGCUACCAAGGCUACGAUCGGUAGCUGGUCUGAGAGGAUGAUCAGCCACACUGGGACUGAGACACGG